AAUACGUUCCCGGGUCUUGUACACACCGCCCGUCACACCACGAAAGUUGGUAACACCCGAAGCCGGUGGCCUAACCUUUUGGAAGGAGCCGUCGAAGGUGGGACCAAUGAUUGGGGUG
rnacentral:rRNA from 1 species